GUUCUCGCUUGGGCAGCACAUAUACUAAAAUUGGAACGAUACAGAGAAGAUUAGCCUGGUCCCUGCGCAAGGAUGACAUGCAAAUUCGUGAAGUGUUUCAUAUUUAA